CCUACGGGCGACAGCAGUGAGGAAUAUUGGUCAAUGGGCGCGAGCCUGAACCAGCCAAGUCGCGUGAGGGAAGACGGUCCUAUGGAUUGUAAACUUCUUUUGUCGGGGAGCAAAAGACGCCACGCGUGGCGUUCCGAGAGUACCCGAAGAAAAAGCAUCGGCUAACUUCGUUCCAGCAGCCGCGGUACUACGUGGGAUGCGAGCGUUGUCCGGAUUUAUUGGGUUUAAAGGGUGCGCAGGCGGAAGAUCAAGUCAGCGGUAAAAGUGAGGGGCUCAACCGCUUCGAGCCGUUGAAACUGGUUGUCUUGAGUGAGUGAGAGGUGUGCGGAAUGCGUGGUGUAGCGGUGAAAUGCAUAGAUA
rnacentral:rRNA from 1 species